AGCGUAUGUAAAAACAUUUAUUGGUUGAGGACGUAUUAUAGUUGACAUGGCCUUUCUACCAGGCUUGGUGGUUAAUAUUAACAGUACAGCUUCCUACUUCCUCUACUCUUUAGUCUCAGACAUGGAGCUUCAACAUUCAACAAAAAAAAAAAAAUUGAAAUAAUCUUUACAUUUCCUUGACACACACAGGUGUGUGUGUGACGGUGUGGAAUGUGUGUGAGGGUUAAACAUGAUGAGAUGGUCAACUAUAACAAUAUACAUGAUUAAGAUCAGAUUAUGGACAGAGCAGAGCACAGAGCCAGGUUACUAUAGCCUGGGUUACACCCUAUGGGCCCUGGUCAACAGGAAGCACACCAUAUAAGGAACAGGGAACCAUUUGGGAUUCAGACAUUAUAGUUAAGCAGACAGCAUCACUCCAAAUAACCUUAGUCAGCCAAUCACAUCGCUCUAUCCCACCCACAGAAUCAAGACUGACUAACUGGCUGGUUCACCAGAUGUGAUUAAGAAACUAAACAUGAGCAUCGUAUUGGUCCAGACAAACCACAUGAUCUCAACAUGAGGACUUCCUACUCCAGAUUACCACAUUAACAACACAUAGGACCAGUUUCCUGGACACAGAUUCAGCAGUUUUGGUCCAGUAGGAUUCAUGUGAGUCCAGGAAGCCAGCCUGUAAUUAAGCAAUAAGGCACAGCCCCCCUGUAGUGCCAAUAUACCACAGCUAAGGGUUGUUCUUAGGCACGACGCAGCGUGGAGUGCCUUGACACAGCCCUUAGCCGUGGUAUAUUAGCUAUAUAAACCCCCAAGGUGCCUUAUUGCUAUUAGAAACUGGUUACCAAUGUAAUUAGAGCAGUAAAAAUUAAAUGUUUUGUCAUACCCGUGGUAUACGGUCUGAUGUACCACGGCUGUCAGCCAAUCAGCAUUCAGGGCUUGAACCACCCAGUUUGUAAUUCUCUAUAAAAGGCUGUAUUUAGUCUGUUUUACAGCAGGCUAGUGUUCUCAGGAGAAUCCAGCUGAGUUUAAACACAGCAUGCUGUUUUCUUCCAUAGUGAGUAGCAUGCCAGGGCCAGGAGCCGCUUCCAGGAGCCGCUUCCAGGAGCCGCUUCCAGGCCACUCAGUGUGUGGUGUGUUGCUCUCUCCUGCGUCUCUCCCAUUACCAUGACAUUCCUUCACACAGACACUGCCCCACUGACGGCCAUCUUUGCUUGUUCCAUCGCCAUAAGCAACAACAGCCCAGCAGAGAGAAGGAACACAGUGCACAUCAAAAAUGAUGACAUUGUACACAUGACACUGUGCACAUCAAAUUAAAAAAAGUGUAAUGAACCCAGAUGUUUUCAGUCUAAUCUAACCUACUCUCUGACAGGAUAUGUGUAAUCUAAAGAGAAUAUAGUGACAUGGAGUUGCAUCUCCUCCAGUAUGUAUGUAAGCGCUGCACAUUAGUCUUUGGCAUGGUUCAGUAUCGGAGAAGCCCAUUGGUUGAGCUGACGUUCACGCCAGACCAAUAACAGGAGAACAGAAGAUCAGGUCAAUGCUUCAUCGUCGUGGAUUAAAAACCUCGUAUUUACUUGGUUAAAUAACAUCCACAUACGUUUCCCAGUGACAUAAAGAGGGAAAUAAAAAUAAGCACAUUAAAUCUGAGUCUGAAUCGAUUUUUAAAAAAAACUGUUGAGAUUGAAAGAGAUCCACCAUAUUAUCAAUUGUAAGACUUUAAUUCUUUAAGACUUUAAAUUCUUUACGACAGUAUUAAGACAUCUAUAAACGUUCUUCAGGGCUUCAGACUUUUUCAGAGAGGCAGCUGUUCUCAUACACUCCUCAGAGUACACUACAGCUGUACCAACCCACCACAUCCACCCCAGGAGGUUAACAACACCGGGACAACCCACCACAUCCACCCCAGGAGGUUAACAGACGGCCCUACCAGGACAACCCACCACAUCCACCCCAGGAGGUUAACAGACAGCCCUACCAGGACAACCCACCACAUCCAACCCAGGAGGUUAACAGACAGCCCUACCAGGACAACCCACCACAUCCAUCCCAGGAGGUUAACAGACACCAUCACAUCAACCUCUCUCUUCCCCCUGUGUAGGAAGCACUGAUCAGAACCAAGAGCUUUCAGAACCAAGAGAUACAGCAGUCUAGCUAGGGAGGCCUGUCCCGUACCACUGUAGGGGCUGGAGGUCAGGGCCCUAUACCACUGUAGGGUUAGAGGUCAGAGGUUAGGAUAGUAUGUUUAAAACCAUGGUUACUUGGUUAGAUUACAGUACUGUUCAUGUUGCUCUAAACACAGUAAAAACAGAAAAUAAAUCAUUCAGAGAAAAUAAAAAAGAAAGCGCCUGAAAUGAACUGAAAAAACGAAACAAUAAGAUGUACAGCUGUAGUUCUAACAAUAGUAUAAUAAACAAUAAACAAUAAUAAUAAUAACAACAACGUGUGUAUAGAUAUGUAGGUACUAGAGAGAGCUAUUCCAGUUAUUUCUCUUCUCCUCAGAUAGAUGAUGUUACCUGCGUCUCAAAUGGAACCCUAUUCUCUAUAGGGCACGAUCACAGCCCCUAGGGCUCGGAUCAAAAGUAGUGCACUACGUAGGGAACAAGGGUGCCAUUUGGGACUCGCAGUCCCCGUCUGGUUGAGGGCGCCUUGCUCCGGGUUUUGGCACAAGACUUAACGUCCACGGUGAGAUGAGACCAGGGGAUUGGCUGAAAAUGUAUUCCAUACGGCGAGAUGAGACGACGGGACAGAUCUGGGAGACAUGACAGGCUCCGCCCCUUACUGGUCCCCCUCCACUCGCCUCUUGCGGACUGGAGAGAAGACAGGAAGAGGACAAGGAGAAGAGGACAAGGAGGAAUUGUACAGUGAGAAACUUGAUCAAAACACAGCAAACAACAUGGUGAUCAAACAAUCCUAAAACAGUCCCGUGCUGGUCAGAAGAGACAGAGGAGUCCAACCCUAUGAUUUUAAAGUGCAUACAAGCC
ensembl:lncRNA